CCUACGGGAGGCAGCAGUGGGGAAUAUUGCGCAAUGGGCGAAAGCCUGACGCAGCGACGCCGCGUGAGGGAUGAAGGUCUUCGGAUCGUAAACCUCUGUCAGCAGGGAAGAACGGUCACUGUGCUAAUCAGCAGUGAAUUGACGGUACCUGCAAAGGAAGCACCGGCUAACUCCGUGCCCGCAGCUGCGGUAAUACGGGGGGUGCGAGCGUUAAUCGGAAGUGCUGGGCGGAAAGGGAGCGUAGGCGGUAUGGCAAGUCACGGGUGAAAUACCCGCGCUCAACGUGGGAACUGCCAUUGAAACUGGCAAAAUGGAGUGUGUGAGAGGAUAGUGGAAUUCCUGGUGUAGGAGUGAAAUGCGUAGAUAGCUGGAGGAACAUCAGUGGCGAAGGCGGCUAUCUGGCACAUAACUGACGCUGAGGAGCGAAAGCGUGGGUAGCAAACAGGAUUAGAUACCCCUGUAGUC
rnacentral:rRNA from 1 species